CUAUUAUCAUCGGCCCUCAACCUUGCAUUAUUGCCUCCGCGGCGCAGAGCAUUGCUGCAGCCUGCAGAGUAGUAUAUAUCCUCACAGUUUCAGGUUCUAAGGAUCAAGAACGAGAAAGGACCAGAGCCGGAGAAGGAUUAGAGAAAGGAUACUAGCUCCACUUCGACAGGAUCGUGGAUGGGGCUGGGAGCCAGAAGAGAUCACUGCCAAGGGCAAGCUGAUUAGGCGAACUACAAUAGGGGAAAAGGAAAAAGGUUGGUAGAUUGGAUUCAUUAUAUUGGAAUUGGAUAAUUGCUGUAUAGAAUGUGUGGGAUAUGAUUUCUCACUACUGACUACAAAUCAAAUGCACGUUACUCAUGUUUUGAUGUUUUAGAUGUAUUUUCUAGAUGCACUCAAGUUUUAUUUGAUAAUUGAUAGUUGUGAGCUUCCAGGAUAUGAUCACAAGAAUUUUGAAGCACGCUCUUUUUCAUGCCAUAAAAAAUAGUAGAAUGAUUUUACCUCGGUCCCCUCGCUGCAAUUGGCUAUGUGGUGUGCUUAAUUAUUAUUUCAUGUUUACAAUUGUUUUUUAUCACUUAGUUAUGAUGUUUUCAUAACUCCAUGUCUGGUUUUCUUAUUUUUAUUUGUGCCGAGUGCCUCCUUGCAAUCAACCAAGUAGAGCCAUGUGCCAUUGAGGACAUGGCGCCAGGGAGGGGGGCAUCUAGCAGUUGGGGGCUUGAUUUUGCACUUGAUUGGAACGAUUUGGAGUGGAUUAUAGAAGGGAGGUGGAUGGAAAUGAGAAGAAGAGGAGGACGCGCUCCUGCUCAUGGCGGCCAGAGGCGUUGUGGCCUAGCGCUUGAAGUGGGAAUGAGGCUAGGCACGGGGAGGACGAGCGCUUGCCUGGGCGACGGCGAGGACGGUAAGAUGCACAACGUCUAGGUGACGGCGAGGAUGGGGCAAGAUGCGGGUGGCGCCGAUGGACGAAGAGGUAGCGACUGGCGCCGAUGGACGAAGAGGCACCUACUGGCUGGAUAAUGAUGAGAACUGGGGAAAUCGAAUGAAUGGAUAGAGCGGAGGUUAAGCAGUGAACUUUUUUUAUUUCCAUGUGUGGGUCCCACAUAAUAAACAGACGACAUCAAACUACCCACAAAUGUCUUCUACUACUAUACUUGCAAAGAGAGGACUACUAGGGACAACACACCAAUAUAUUAUGAAGCGAAACAAACAUAUUAGAAACAAGCGAAUAAUAACGUGAGAGCAAGGACGUGUAGCAACGCACGGGUAUUUCUGCUAGUUGAAUUCUAAAGAAAGGAAACGUGAGUUUCAAAUCACUUCCAUUGGGGUCUUUUAACCCCACCGUCACUUUGAAUUUCGUGGGCACUGCGCGCCUAGGAGGGCACCGCGCUUGGGAC
rnacentral:lncRNA from 1 species